ACAAAAGGGAAAAAGGCGUGGCGGGCGCAAGCUCGUUUCACGUUCUGCUCCCGAAUCCUGUAUUCACCCCAAGUUCCUUUAAAAUUUCAAUUAAAAAACUCUGCAAAAGACCACUUUUUAAAGUGGCAUCUAAUUGCACAAAGCGA
rnacentral:misc_RNA from 1 species